GUGCCCACUUCGGCAGCACCUACACUAAAAUUGGGAUGAUAUACAGAAGGCCAGCAUACCCACAGUGCAAGGAUGACAUGCAAAGGUGUGCAGCAUUUUGUAUUUUU
ensembl:snRNA U6 U6 spliceosomal RNA